rnacentral:lncRNA from 1 species
AAUUCAAUUAAAUUUUCAAAUAAAUUAUAAAAACAAUGAAAAAAAGUCCUAAGUAAAUUCUAAUUGAAUCUUAAUUAAAUAUUAAAUAAAUCCUAAAAAAAUUCUACACAAAUCUUAAGCAAAUCUUAAUCAAACUAUAAAAAAAUCUUUAUCAAAUCUUAAAAAAAAUCCUAGACAAAUCUUAGAUAAAUCCUUAUUAAAUCCUAAAAAAACCCUAAAAAAAUCCUAAACAAAUCUUAAAUAAAUCUUAAUUAAAUUUUAAAAAACCCUAAUAAAA